rnacentral:rRNA from 1 species
UACGUAGGGGGCAAGCGUUGUCCGGAUUUAUUGGGCGUAAAGAGCGUGUAGGCGGCUUGGUAGGUCCGCUGUGAAAACUCGAGGCUCAACCUCGAGAUGUCGGCGGAAACCACUUGGCUAGAGUCCGGAAGAGGAGAGUGGAAUUCCUGGUGUAGCGGCGGAAUGCGCAGAUAUCAGGAGGAACACCUAUAGCGAAGGCAGCUCGCUGGGACGGUACUGACGCUGAGGCGCGAAAGCGUGGGGAGCGAACAGG